rnacentral:rRNA from 1 species
AUUGAACGCUGGCGGCAGGCCUAACACAUGCAAGUCGAGCGGAUGAAGGGAGCUUGCUCCUGGAUUCAGCGGCGGACGGGUGAGUAAUGCCUAGGAAUCUGCCUGGUAGUGGGGGAUAACGUCCGGAAACGGGCGCUAAUACCGCAUACGUCCUGAGGGAGAAAGUGGGGGAUCUUCGGACCUCACGCUAUCAGAUGAGCCUAGGUCGGAUUAGCUAGUUGGUGGGGUAAAGGCCUACCAAGGCGACGAUCCGUAACUGGUCUGAGAGGAUGAUCAGCCACACGGGAGCUGAGACAGCGUCGUGAGUCCUACGGGACGCACCAGUGGGGAUUUUUGGAGCAGGGGCGCAAGUCUGAUCCAGCCAUACGGCGUGGGUGAAGACGGUCUUCGGCUUGUACAGCCCUUUUUUUGGGAAAGAAACGCAUCCGGUUAAUACCCCGCUGUUCUGCCGGUACCCAAAGAAUAAGCACCGGCUAAUUUCGUG